CGGGGCGUGGCUCAGCCCGGCUAGAGCACACGGUUCGGGACCGUGAGGUCGGAGGUUCAAAUCCUCUCGCCCCGACAA
rnacentral:tRNA from 2 species